GAUGAAGAACGUAGCGAAAUGCGAUAAGUAGUGUGAAUUGCAGAAUUCAGUGAAUCAUCGAGUCUUUGAACGCACAUUGCGCCCACUGGUAUUCCGGGGGGCAUGCCUGUCCGAGCGUCAUUGCUGCCCUCAAGCACGGCUUGUGUGUUGGGCCUCCGUCCUCCUCCCGGGGGACGGGCCCGAAAGGCAGCGGCGGCACCGCGUCCGGUCCUCGAGCGUAUGGGGCUUCGUCACCCGCUCUUGUAGGCCCGGCCGGCGCUUGCCGACACAUCAAUCUUUUUUCCAGGUUGACCUCGGAUCAGGUAGGGAUACCCGCUGAACUUAAGCAUAUCAAUAAGCGGAGGA
rnacentral:misc_RNA from 1 species